CGGUAAGAUGUUCUGAUAUAUGUGAUAGUUUUGACAGUAUCAAUUGAUUUCACAGGUCAUUGCAAAAGCUGUUGAAGUUGGGGCAGAUAGUAGUCAAUUUCCUAGUAGUUGGAUUUUCCAUUCCCGCGAAAAGAAACCUGGCAAGGCUUUUGUUGAUGGGAAGACAAUUGAGUUUAUUGCUGCUGGUGGCAGGACAACGGCAUAUGUACCAGAGUUACAAAAGCUGAGUGGAUCUCAAGUUGCAAAAGCACAAAUUAAACCGAGAAAGCAAACUGUUAAGAAGGGAAGCAAAGAUGUGGACAUGGAUGGUGAUCUUAGUGCACCAGGAAGUGAGGAUGAGGAAAAUGCUAAAAGUGCAAAAUCAAAGGGAGGGAGGACCAUGAGUGGACGUAAGAAA